rnacentral:rRNA from 1 species
CAUAGGUUAAUGAGGCGAACCGGGGGAACUGAAACAUCUAAGUACCCCGAGGAAAAGAAAUCAACCGAGAUUCCCCCAGUAGCGGCGAGCGAACGGGGAGCAGCCCAGAGCCUGAAUCAGUGUGUGUGUUAGUGGAAGCGUCUGGAAAGGCGCGCGAUACAGGGUGACAGCCCCGUACACAAAAAUGCACAUGCUGUGAGCUCGAUGAGUAGGGCGGGACACGUGGUAUCCUGUCUGAAUAUGGGGGGACCAUCCUCCAAGGCUAAAUACUCCUGACUGACCGAUAGUGAACCAGUACCGUGAGGGAAAGGCGAAAAGAACCCCGGCGAGGGGAGUGAAAAAGAACCUGAAACCGUGUACGUACAAGCAGUGGGAGCACGCUUAGGCGUGUGACUGCGUACCUUUUGUAUAAUGGGUCAGCGACUUAUAUUCUGUAGCAAGGUUAACCGAAUAGGGGAGCCGAAGGGAAACCGAGUCUUAACUGGGCGUUAAGUUGCAGGGUAUAGACCCGAAACCCGGUGAUCUAGCCAUGGGCAGGUUGAAGGUUGGGUAACACUAACUGGAGGACCGAACCGACUAAUGUUGAAAAAUUAGCGGAUGACUUGUGGCUGGGGGUGAAAGGCCAAUCAAACCGGGAGAUAGCUGGUUCUCCCCGAAAGCUAUUUAGGUAGCGCCUCGUGAAUUCAUCUCCGGGGGUAGAGCACUGUUUCGGCAAGGGGGUCAUCCCGACUUACCAACCCGAUGCAAACUACGAAUACCGGAGAAUGUUAUCACGGGAGACACACGGCGGGUGCUAACGUCCGUCGUGAAGAGGGAAACAACCCAGACCGCCAGCUAAGGUCCCAAAGUCAUGGUUAAGUGGGAAACGAUGUGGGAAGGCCCAGACAGCCAGGAUGUUGGCUUAGAAGCAGCCAUCAUUUAAAGAAAGCGUAAUAGCUCACUGGUCGAGUCGGCCUGCGCGGAAGAUGUAACGGGGCUAAACCAUGCACCGAAGCUGCGGCAGCGACGCUUAUGCGUUGUUGGGUAGGGGAGCGUUCUGUAAGCCUGCGAAGGUGUGCUGUGAGGCAUGCUGGAGGUAUCAGAAGUGCGAAUGCUGACAUAAGUAACGAUAAAGCGGGUGAAAAGCCCGCUCGCCGGAAGACCAAGGGUUCCUGUCCAACGUUAAUCGGGGCAGGGUGAGUCGACCCCUAAGGCGAGGCCGAAAGGCGUAGUCGAUGGGAAACAGGUUAAUAUUCCUGUACUUGGUGUUACUGCGAAGGGGGGACGGAGAAGGCUAUGUUGGCCGGGCGACGGUUGUCCCGGUUUAAGCGUGUAGGCUGGUUUUCCAGGCAAAUCCGGAAAAUCAAGGCUGAGGCGUGAUGACGAGGCACUACGGUGCUGAAGCAACAAAUGCCCUGCUUCCAGGAAAAGCCUCUAAGCAUCAGGUAACAUCAAAUCGUACCCCAAACCGACACAGGUGGUCAGGUAGAGAAUACCAAGGCGCUUGAGAGAACUCGGGUGAAGGAACUAGGCAAAAUGGUGCCGUAACUUCGGGAGAAGG